CAUAUACUUCUUCCGUCCGGAAUUAUUUGUCGCGGGAAUGGAUGAUGUAUCUAGAUGUAUUUCAGUUCUAGAUGCCUUUAUUUUUGCGACAAACAAUUUGUGGCGGAGGGAGUAUUUG
rnacentral:pre_miRNA from 1 species